GCCCUAAAAGCUGACCAGGAUAGCUGUUAAUCUUGUAAAUUAAAAGGAGAGGUUCGAAUCCUUUUUGGGGCU
rnacentral:tRNA from 1 species